rnacentral:lncRNA from 1 species
AUGCCAGCCGAGGAGAGAACAGUGCAGGGGGAAGGACCGGGUGUCACCCCCCAGCUGUGGGACGUGCAGAGGAAGGAAGUACAGGACGAGCUACAGCUCGGGCCUCCGCGGGUGGCUGUGAGCAUCAUGCAACCUCAUAGAUGCAGGCCGCUGGGUGUGGCACCUGGCACAGAGUGCGCGCUCGGUUCAGGUUGCUUAGCACUGCUGUUAUUCUCUUUAUGUGGUCCGUUUCCCCAUGACACACAAGACAGAAACAGCAGCCUCUUCGAAGGAGGAGGCAACAAGACUAUCAACUCUGAGGUUUAAAUAAAGGCUGAAUUUAUCUCGUUUAGCAAGGAAUAUUGGAACAUGGUUUAACUAAGGAUUGCUUGAUCGAGAUUUAUAUACUUUUCUGGGUGAGUACAGAGGGCUUGUUCUAACAGAAGGGAGAAAACUUUUUAUUAGCUCUAACAGGAUUGGGGGAUAAUGUGAAUUGGCCCUUGUACCAAAGCUGGGCUGCUUUAGCCUACUCAACUUAAAGCUGUUUCAUUUUGGCGUAUAAUCCUGGAUAGGAUUUCAAAAAUCCCAGUUCCUCAAGGUCCAUGAUUUAAACAGUAAGAUUUCUUAGGACUGUCCCUGAUGCUCACCAGCAGAAGCAGUUUUAUAGUUUUGGCCAUAUUCAAUCAGGCAAAUCAAGAAAUAAUUUGAAUUAUGUGGUCUAGCCAUGUUAAUUGAUCAAAUUAACUGGAAAAUACUUUAAUCUCUUAUGUAUUUAUUUUGUAUUGUAAAGACUCAACCUUUAGCAAACUAAUACUCUUUUGUUAAGAGUAUUAAGAAAGGAGAGUCUAAAGGAGGUUGUGUGUCCCAGGAGUAUUAACCAUGGGUUAUGGUGUCUGAGCCAGGGAGAUUCCAAAAUAUGUUAGAACAGUCUGUUCCAUUUCACAAACACUUGUUAAGCACAUGAUAGUGAAAUCAUAUGUACCAUUGUUAUGUGCCAGUAUGCCCAUUAUUUUAUGUAAUCUCUAAAUCUCAACAAUCCUGCAAGAAGGUAAGGGUGUUACUAUUACCAUUUUACAAAUGAGAAAUCUGGGGCUUAGUUAACCUGCCCAAGGUCAUCCAAAUGGUAAAUGACUGAAUCAGAAAUUUAACAGGGUCUUUCUGAUUUCAGAUUCUGUGGUCAAACCGCUAGACCUUGCCCCUUACCUUUCUUACUCUCUUUGUGAAUCUAUUACAAGUUAGUGCCAGGACUGCCAUAGAUUUAUUUCAAGUAGUGCAUUUUUGCACAGGACAAAUGAUUACUAAGAAAAUAUCACUAUCCAGUUUAGGACUCCUAUAGGAUGCAUACUGUGUCCUCCAUAACUAGUAGUAGCUCAUGGGAUGAACUCCUUUCAACAAAAUCACCAAGCACUACAUCACCAUCUAUCCUUUGGGUAAGAAGGAAUAAUACUAUUCAGGCUCAACCUGUGGACAAGAUGAAAUAUUGGUAAAUGCUUUCCCUCCAUGGUUUUUAUUCUUUAUGCUGACUUUUGUUUCCUCUCCUCUACCCAUAUUUUCAAAUCCAAUAGUGCUUCCUAUCUGGACAAGAAUCACCAACUGUAAUAAUCCAUAUUCAGGUUGACUAAGUGCAUUAAUAAAUAUGUUGUCUUCUUUUCAAAGGACAAACAAAAGCAAGGGACAACAAUGGGUAAUAUAGAGAAAGCAACUAUUAGCAGCACAGAGACCGUUAGGCGCUCAUUAGUCAUAAGUAUUUAACUUUUUAAUAUACUUGAUACUGAAGGAUAGUAGAAUAUGCCUCCUGGAAAUAUGCUGUUUGGGGAUAUGGAUUAUUUUGAGCUAAAGGCACUAAAAACCAGCAAGUGCAAGAAGGGCACUCUGAUCUCCCCUUUACUUCCUGAAAGCUGGAGAUAAAACUCCCCUGGGAAAGAUGCCUUCCUAGGACUAGGAGGAAAGGAAUAUUCUUAUCACCAGAGACAGGGAGUGGAGGCUGGGAGAAAUCUGUAAAAACAGAUCUUGUUAAAGUAACUCCUAUCUGGGCAGCCCGGGUGGCUUAGCAGUUUGGUGCCUCCCUCAGCCCAGGGCAUGAUCCUGGAGACCCGGGAUCGAGUCCCAUGUCAGGCUCCCUGCAUGGAGCCUUCUUCUCCCUUUGCCUGUGUCUCUGCCUCUCUCUGUCUCUGUGUCUCUCAUGAAGAAAUAAAUAAAAUCUUAAAAAAAAAAAAAAAACCCACAAACUCCUAUCUUCCUUUAGUCUCUCCAUGGGUUUUUAGUUACUUUUCCACAAUUGUAUCUCUUUAUUCAACCUCAUAUAUAUGCACUUGCUACUUCUUUGAGUUUCCAUUUCCUUAUGAUGGCUCCUGUGUCCGGUAAAACUUAUAUUAAACACAUCUGCUUUUCUCCUGUCAAUCUUUCUUAUGUCCAUUUAAUUCUCCAUUUAAUUCUCAGGCCCAGCCAGAGACUCUAAGAGGGUAGAGGUUAAGUUUCUCUUCCCCUACAGUACCUGGAGUACUAUGUUCCACCUUGCAAAGUGAAACAAUAGAAUCCACUUCCCACCCUCAAGAAGCCUAUAUUUCAAUGCAGGAGCCAGGCAAGUCAACAGUGGCAUAGCAGGAGCAUCACUGGAGUCAUGCAUGAGUACCCAGAGCACAGAGGGAGGUGAUUGGGAAUGAGUGUGCAGCAGUGUCCUGGAAGCAGUAGCUUCCUCUUGCCGAGCCAUCAUAUUCUGUGAGGUCGGCAUUAUUUAAACUGUGAAGUGUGGGGGUCAAAUAGCUCUCACAGCUUUUAACUGUUGGGCAACCUCAGUUGAAGUAGGCUGUUGAAUCAGCAUGUCCAUGUGAUCUUGCAGGUGUGUGUAUGUCCUUGAGCACAGGAGUGGAGAUGAGAGUUAUUAUUCUCCUAAAUGUCAAGGGAGUCAACAGCAUCACAGUAGAAGUUUCCAGAGAUCCUUGCCAGUGCCAGGGUAAGGAUGGAAGGGUAGAGUAGUGAUUUUAAAGAAACUUCCAAUAAAUUAGGAUUGGGGUUACGGUGAACCUGCUUCUGGCUUCUGAAGAAUCACAUUAAUGACUCCUAUGGAAUUUGGGGGAAAAGGAAAUGGCUUUCAUCAGGUUGUCAAUUCCACUUUUUGUAGGGGACUGUUUUUUAUGGUUCAGGCUAUCCAUACAUUCUGAUGAUGUUUAUUUUUAAUUCCUUUGAUGGUGUGUCUCUUGAUUAUUUAAUGGAUGGCUUUUAAUUUCUUUGAACAUAGUCUUAUUAGUAUGUAAUUCUUUGCAUUUUGCAUAAUUAAUGCAAAGAUUGUAGUGAUUCAGGGAUCAAUCCAUGAUUAAGAUAUUGUCACAUUCAGGGCCAGAAACUGAAUCUGUCCAAUUCAUAUUCUUACUAUUCAAGAGUCAUUCCUUUGAAUGAAGUCUCACCUCUCACCCAGCCAUUUCUUGUAAAGGUAUGUUUUUGUUAUUGGGCCAUUACAAUAUUAGCUCAUUAAGACCCAUAACUAAAUAAUAUAGGAUUAUUAUUAUCAUUUUUAUUUUAUUUUAUUUUUUAAAAUUUAUUUAUGAUAGUCAU